GCACUCCCUUUGGCAGCACAUUUACUAAAAUUGGAAUGAUACAGAGAAGAUUAGCAUGGCCCCUGCAAAAGAAUGACACACAAAUAAGUGAAUCAUUCCAUUUUUGG
ensembl:snRNA U6 U6 spliceosomal RNA